CCACCUCCUUCCUUUCACUCUUCUUUGUUUUCCUUUUUAGCCGACGCCACACUUACAGUAGGUACAUCGAGACCUAUCCAAUAACCAUCUCCCACGCCCCACCGCUGUUGGCGAGACCUUGCUAGCACUCCUCCUUUGUCCAAUACCCACCUCUCCUUCAUCCUCUUUUGCCUACUUAGGGCUUAUUCCUCUUUAACUUCAGCGGCUCUUGACCUCGUAUGUUUUCGACGGCUCCCAUCGCCAAAUCCAUGGUCAUAGCAACUCUGGUCACCAAGUCUGGUGUCACUUGCAAUUCCCGUCGACUGAUCUAUGGUGACUAGCGGUUCUUGCCACCAAAUACGGUGCCACCGACGAUUCUUGAUGUCAGAUUCGCAAUCAUCGAUCACUUCCUUCACCGGAUCCGUGGUUAUUGGUCACUCCUGCCACCAGAUCGAUGGUAAAUCGAUCUCUCCCUCUUUUAGAUCCGCGGUCACCAGCAGCUGCUGCCGCCAGAUCCAUGGUAAUCAUCCCCUUCCACCACCAGAUCCAUGAUGAUCGAUCGCUCCCCGCAGCCAAGCUCGUGGGCAUCGGUCGCCGCCACCGCCAGAUCUGCAGUCAUCAGUUGCUCCGUGCUGCCAAACUCGCGGUCAUUAGUGGACAUCAAUCACCAAUAACACUUCACUAACUGUCAUCGACAUAUUACUGACUAGCCUCCCUGGCGUCCUCUAAAUCCAGACAUGUCAAGCUUUGUUCAGGGGAGCAUACUGGUUGCGAUUUUGAUCCCUGCUACAGCGUGAGGAUAUAAUGAAGACUAUCUGUUUGGCAAGCAAGGCAUUGGAGUUUGUCGUCUUGGAUAUCUUUGCCAAGAAUGGAUGGAAAAUCAGUAAUAGACUUGGAUAUCUUUGCUAAGAAUGGAUGGAGAAUCAAUAAUAGACUUUGCUUUGGAUUCCUUCAAGUCGUUUGUGUACUCUUUUCACUAUUUUUUCAGUUUAUGUGCUGAGAAUUUUUAAAAACUUAGCUGUAUGUGGUUGCAGAGGCUGGAGACGUUUCUUUUUCUAAAAAAUAUAUCAAUCCUUCGGCACA